rnacentral:rRNA from 1 species
AACGAACGCUGGCGGCAUGCCUAACACAUGCAAGUCGAACGAGACCUUCGGGUCUAGUGGCGCACGGGUGCGUAACGCGUGGGAACCUGCCCUUAGGUUCGGAAUAACUCCCCGAAAGGGGUGCUAAUACCGGAUAAUGUCUUCGGACCAAAGAUUUAUCGCCUUUGGAUGGGCCCGCGUUGGAUUAGCUAGUUGGUAGGGUAAAAGCCUACCAAGGCGACGAUCCAUAGCUGGUCAGAGAGGAUGGUCAGCCACACUGGGACUGAGGAACGGCCCAGACUCCUACGGGAGGCAGGAGUGGGGAAUAAUGGAAAAUGGGGGGAAGGCUGAACCAGCAAUGCCGGGUGAGUGAUGAAGGCCUUAGGGUUGUAAAGCUCUUUUAACCGGGAUGGUAAUGACCGUACCGGGAGAAUAAGCACCGGCUAACUUCGUG